CGUUGAGCUGUUUGCGUUCCCACCAGCAAUGAAUGAGACUUCCAGUUGCUCUGCACCCUUGUGAACCUAUAAGAUCAUCUUUUCUCUUUUUUAGUCAUUCUAAUUGCUGAAGGGGUCAUUUUCACAGAAAUCGUUUCCUGAAGAUUCUGCUAAAGGGCAGCUGUUUAGAAGACUGUAACUACCGUACACUGCGCUUUCCUGCCUACUGCAGAAGCAUUACAUUCAAGAAUGCUGAAAACUUAGAAAGUCAGCUUUAGAGGCAAAGAUAUCAACCACAAGGGAAUAACAUAUAAUUCUACUAUGUAGUGAAUAUUGUAUUUCCAAAUAAGUAAAAUGCCACAAGUGGGAAGGAGUGACAGUCGAAAAAAAAUCCAAAUUUUAUUAAAAUAGCAGUUGCAAAUAAAGCUGAAUUAACUUUGACAGUCAUACUUGCAUGAAAACAUCUGUUCUUACAUGUGUGUCGAGAUAUCCAAACAUCUAAAACUGAAGUAUGAAUGAUCCAUUGUUUAAUCGGCAAAAGGGCAAGCUCCUUUGUAAUGUAAAUGAAAAUACGGUAUAAAAAAGGCAGGAAAAAAGAAAUCUUUGGAUAAAAACUCAAACAUAUACACAGAGACUUUGCCAAAGAUCAACAAGAGAACAAAAAUCCUGAGGAAGAAAGCGGCAAGAUGAGGAAAGGCCAUUCAGUGGGUCAAUUGCCCAAAAACAAAAAUAGAAAAGAAGGAGGGAUCAGUUAAACAGAUGGAGUUGGCAGGGAGCUCUGCAUCCAGGAGUGAACAGGAGGACGGUAACCUUUCAUAGUCUCCCUACCAGAGCCACUCCCCAGUACUAUUCAGUGUGCUGCAGCGUAAGUCUCACUAUCCAGGACUGUUGCCCUACGUGAAGUUUGCUUGCUAUAUGAAAUUUCUGGGGCUGCCAUGUCAAAAAGGCAUACAAAAUGCUAGGAGUUGCUUAAAACAAACAAACAAAGAACAAAUCAGGCAGGAGGCAGGUUAAAAAGAAAUAAAGAAACCAGGAGAUGAAAUUCCUUGUAGCAUUAUCUUUCUGGUCUAAUAGUAAUGAACGUUUCAUUAUCGCCAUUCUAAUAAAUGGCAAAGAAUAUAUGUUUCGACUCCAUUUGCUUCACCAUCUAGGCUAGCCAAAAAAUGAAAAAGCAAUUAAGUUAACAAUUAAAGCCAGAGAUAAUCCUGGCUCUCCCAUUUCCAACACUGCCUUAUGAUGUGAUAUGUCCUGCUGGAGCCAAAAAAACAAAAACAAAAAACAAAAAAACAAAAUUAAAAAAAGGAUCAUCAACGGCCACUCCCUUCAGAGCCAUUUCACCCCGACGUGUCCCAAACCGCUGCUGGAUGGUCAAAAUCCCAGCAAUGGGCAAUCAGCCAGGAGGAGAGCCGAAUUUCCCCCCAACAGGCUGCAUCAAUAACAGGCUUGGAAAACCACUUCCAGGGGAGACCCUAGCAAAACGAGGAAACACCUUCAGAAGCACAGGGUCUGCGUAGCAGCUCCGUCCCAUCACCGCCUUUGUCAGAGACGUUCAAAACAGAGUGACUCCAUCUUGAAAGGGGGCUGGGUAAAAUAAGGUUGAGACCUGCUGGGCUGCAUUCCCAGGCAUACUUAGUCACGGGAUGAGAUAGGUCAGCAGGACUGGUAUCGCAAGAUACAGGUCAUAAAGACCCUGCUGAUAAAACAGCGGUGAAGAAGCAGGCCAAAACCCACUGAAACCAAGAUGGUGAUAAAAGUGACCUCUGGUCAUCUUCACUGCUCAUUAUAUGCUAAUUAUAAUGCAUUCGCAUGCUAAAAGACACUCUCACCAGCACCCUCACAGUUUACAAAUGCCAUGGCAACAUCCAGAAGUUACCCUAUAUGGUCUAAAAAGGGGAAGAACCAUCAGUUCCGAGACUUGCCUGCUCCUUUCCCAGAAAACUCAUAAAACAUAUAAUCAAGAAAUAACCAUAAACGUACUCAGUCAAUCAGCCCUUAGUGCUGUUCUGUGUAUGAAAUAGCCAUUCUUUUGUCUCUUUACUUCUCUAAUAAACUUGCUUUUGCUUUAUUCUAUAGACUCACCCCGAAUUCUUUCUAGCGUGACAUUCAAGAACCCCUUCUUGGGGUCUGGGUCUGGACCCCUUUCCAGUAACACAUUCAUCACCAUUUGCUAUUUUUACAGCAUGACCCUGUGGCUGAACCAGGUCAAGAGUAAGGAAGCUGUCCUAUCCCCAGCCAUCCCCAAGUUCUGUCUAACUGAAUGGAUAUGCCCCCAUCCCCCUCCGUCUGUUGUCUGAUUGAUCUGUCAUGUAACAUCCUCUCCUGCCCUUCCUGGGAAACGUUUACAGCAAUUUAGUACAGUCUCUGUGUUCUGCAUUUUUCAAGACCCUCUGCAAAUUGCCAACACUUACCAUUUCCAUCUUCCCUUCCCUUUUUCUCCACACAUGCCCUGUAAUUCAGCUCGAGAGUAACGCUUGCUCUUUCCCGAACACACACUGAGCUUCCCUCCGUGGAGAAGUUCUGCUCCUGCUCUGGCCAUAGGUGAAUUCACUACCCUUUGAAUGUCAUUCGACUUUCCUUUUUUUUAGCUCACAGCCCCUCCCCCAGUUCUAAGAACAUGACCAUCCCAAUACGAAGGACACAGUGCUGCCCUGGAGGAGUUCUGGAACCUUCCAGUACUCACUUCAUGUCCUGUCUUCCACCCUUGCUGAGGGUAGGCUCCUUGAGGACAAGAGCGGAUGGCAGCCUUCAUCCUCACGUACCUCAGGCAGAUGAUGGUGUGUCUUGCACAUAGGCGGUACUUAAUAAAUAUUUGUUUAAAUGUUUAUGGUUGAACUGGAUUGAAUUGUAAAGUAGGAUUUAUGUGGUUUAAGCUUUGGGUAACCUAAGCUAAUUUCACAGAGUCAUAGAAUGCUUGUACCAGAGACAAUAUAAAGACCAUCUAAUUGACACUCCUCAUUGUGCGGAUGAGGAGACUGAGUCCUGGGGAGAUUACUGACUUGCCCAAGGACGCACAAUUAGAGGCAAAAACCUGAGACUAAGAACAAGUUCCCUAGGACUUAAUUCUGACAAUCCUAUUGCGUAUUAAGGCACAACCUUGAUAUGUUAAUUUUAGAAUAUCUAUUGAGGAAUUGAUUUCUCAGCAAUAUAUGGAGAGCCUCCUGGGUCCCAGGCACUGCGCUCCAGGGGUGGGAACCCAGAAGAACCCCUGGAUAUCUCCUGCCUUACAAACAUGUGAAUUGAAACAGUUGGCUGGGCACGGUGGCUCACGCCUGUAAUCCCAGCACUUUAGGAGGCCGAGGCAGGCAGAUCACCUGAGGUCAGGAGUUCGGGGCCAGCCUGGCCAACAUGGUGAAACCACAUCUCUACUAAAAAUAUAAAAAUUAGCUGGGCGUGCUGGCAUGAGCCUGUAGUCCCAGGUACUCGGG
rnacentral:lncRNA from 1 species